GAGAGUAUAGCUCAGUGGUAGAGCACAUGCUUAGCAUACAUGAGGUCCUGGGUUCAAUUCCCAGUACCUCCA
rnacentral:tRNA from 1 species